GGUCAUGUAGCUCAAUUGGAAGAGCAUCAUGCUAAAAACAUGAAGGUUGUGAGUUCGAGUCUCACCGUGACCA
rnacentral:tRNA from 1 species